rnacentral:rRNA from 1 species
GACGAACGCUGGCGGCGUGCCUAAUACAUGCAAGUAGAACGCAGUUGCGAACGGGUGAGUAACGCGUAGGUAACUGCCUGGUAGCGGGGGGUAACUAUUCGAAACGAUAGCUAAUACCGCAUACUACCAGAUGGACCUGCGUUGUAUUAGAUAGUUGGUGGGGUAACGGCUCACCAAGGCAAAGGUACAUAGCCGACCUGAGAAGGUGAUCGGCCACACUGGGAAUUGGACACGGGCCAGACUCCUUCGGGAGGCAGCAGUAGGGAAUAGUCGGGAAUGGGGGGAACCCUGGCCGAGCAACGCCGCGUGAAGGAAGAAGGUUUUCGGGUCGUAAAGCUCUGUUGUUAAGGAAGCGGUACUUAACCAGAAAGGGACGGCUAACUACGUGCCAGCAGCCGCGGUAAUAG